UCGGCUGAAGUGAACUCUGGUGCAGUUCGAAUGCAUAUGUAAACGCCAAGCAGACUAGAGACCGUUCCAAAAGCUGGAAGUGGACUGCAGGGCAGGGCAUUCUGGGUAAAUACAACCAAA